AGACGUGAAAGGUUGCAGGCUAAACUUUUUUACUCUCUCUCUCGCCCAACGUCCCUAACCUCAGCAGAAGCACCUCCCACUCCCAGGGUCUCUCUCAGUACUUGUCAAAGUAAUACCUUACCUGUGCGUCCUUUCUCAAGGAGGGCUCAGACCCAAUAGCUUGCACAAUUGAUCAGACACGUAGCUCAAUAUCCUCAGAUGGUAAGGAAAUCUGAAAGAAAAUCCAGCACCCUGUUCAUGCAGUAUACCUUGCUGCAGAUGAAGCAGCUAUCAUUAUCACCUAUGUAGCUAUAUUCCUUGAUCAGUAGUGCUUAUCAGUAAGAAUUUUGCUUCAACCUGCUCAAUAGCAACCUUUUGAGGGACUAUUUUAUGUUACCAUCAAUUGGAAAGAAUGAGACUCAUGGUAUAAUAUUAUGUAAGCUCCUGGCAUUUUUACCCUCCUUCAACAAGUUGUAGGCUUUAAAGCUUGUCGUUACUACAAAUUUGAAAAAUGGCAUUGUCCCUGCCUUUCUCAUCCCAAAGGGAUUGGCCAAUCUCUUUCCUGAAUUCUAGUUUCCUCCCUAGGAAUCCUUCUUUGUUACAAGGUAAGAUUAACCAAACUUACAAGAGCAGUAAGAGCUUCAGAAAUCUGUCCAUCUCUAUUUCUUGUUCAUCUCUGAAAAUUGUUCAAAGCCCUUCACUAGACAGGCAUAUUGUGAAGCAAAACAGGAUUCGGUUUGUUCAAAAGCUGAAAACACUGCUCCUUUCUAAACCAAAACACUAUAUGCAACUCUACAUUCUUUCAAAAUGUCGAUCCUACCUUUCCCUUUCAAAGCCCCGCUCAAUCCUCUCUAUGAUUCAUCGUUAUCCUUUAAUUUUUGAAGUCUUCUCAAUCCCAAGACCACCCUUACCACUCAAUGCUACAAAAUCAUAUUCCCAACUUUGUGUCCGUCUAACCCCAGCAGCAGCAGCCCUUGCCUCCCAGGAAUUAAAUCUCAAAUCAGCAAUCUCAAUGACCUUGGCAACCAAACUCCAGAAACUUCUCAUGCUUUCUUCUCACCGUCGGCUUCUUCUGUCAAAGUUGGUUCACCUUGCUCCAGAUCUUGGCCUCCCCCCUAAUUUCCGUUCCCGUCUCUGCAAUGACCACCCUGACAAAUUUAAGACUGUGGAUACCUCCUAUGGCCGUGCACUUGAGCUUGUAUCUUGGGAUCCACACUUGGCAAAUCCUCUACCCUCUCCUAAAGUUCAUUCACGUGGGAUGAUAGUAGACAGGCCUUUGAAAUUUAAACAGCUGAGACUUCGAAAGGGAUUGAACUUGAAGAGACAUCACCAGGAUUUUCUGAUCAAGUUUGGGGAAAUGCCAGCUGUAUGCCCUUAUAAUACUUCUGUGGGGGUGUUAGCAAAAGAAUCCAUGGAAGAAGAGAAAAGAGCUUGUGCGGUGGUGAGAGAGGUGCUGGGGAUGAUGAUUGAAAAGAGGACUUUAAUUGACCACUUGACUCAUUUCAGGAAGGAGUUUGGGCUACCCAACAAGUUGAGGCGAAUGUUUGUGAGGCACCCAGAGUUAUUCUACGUGAGUUUGAAAGGGCAGAGGGACUCUGUGUUUUUGGUGGAGGGGUAUGAUGAGAAAGGAGACCUGUUGGAGAAGGACGAGACUUUGAUUAUAAAAGACCAGUUGAUGGCGUUGGUUAGGGAAGGGAACAGGAUGAGAAGAGAGAGAAGAAAGGCUAGUAUAUAUAGCUAUGGCACUGGUGACUGUAAUGAUGAUGGUGAUGAUGAUAACACAGUUGAUAACAAUAAUGAUGAUCAUGAUGAUGGGUUGGAUGAUUUGUUUGAUUAUGAAGAUUCAGAUUUGGAUUGUGUCGUCAUCGGUGAUGAGAGCAACGAGUCAUUAGGCCACAUGGAGAAUGGGGCGUUUUGGACUGCAGAUUCUGCUUCUCUUCUUAAUGAUGUGGAUGGAGCAAAUAUGGAACCUUGGUAAUAAUGAAUGUUGAUGAAACAACGUACAUAUCUUAUGGAAAAAUAGUAAAAGAACAAUCUUACACUGCUCGAGCCAUAUUGAUCUUUUCUACUGGGUACAAGUAUAUGUCAACCUACAGGUUGGGUGCUUGGUUGGUUAAUGAUGCCACAAUGCGAACAAGCUUUAGUGGGCACUGAGAGACGAAAAGGUUACAAUUUCCAACUUUGGUGUUUACACUGUUAAUUCGAUUGGCACAGGAAUACGAGAGACUGUUGAUACUUUACAAAGGCACAUGGGCAUAUCCCAACAAAAUAGAAGACUCGAUUAAAAGGGCAUAUCCUCCUCACCACAAAACAAACAAGAUCAUAGCCUUGAAAAGGCCUCCACAACUAUCACAAAGGGAGGUGUACCCGGCUGUAGGAUGGUGGAAAUUGGUAUGGUUUCCAACUUCUAUCCCUAAACAUUCCUUUUUUAUAUGACUUGUCUUCCGGAAUACAUUGGUCACUAAGGAAAAAAUGUGUAGGUGGGGUUACACUGGAUGCACAUUGUGCUUAUUCUGCCGUAGUGCCCAAGAGAACCGAGAAUACCUCUUCUUUAGGUGUAGCUUCAGUAGUCGAAUUUGGUCUAAUAUCCUGGCCGAGUGUUCCAUUUCUAAUGCUCCUUUGGAUUGGGAUGCUAUUGAAGAUUGGGGCUUGAAGGAAUUAAAUGGCAGAGGUAUUAGAGCACGAUUGGGGAGGUUUUGUUUGGGGUCUACUAUUUACAAUAUUUAGAAACAGAGGAAUGCUCUUCUGCAUAAUGCCUCGCCUAAAACAACUUAUCUAUUAUGAAUUGUAUUAGAUGGGAAGUUCGUUCAAGGCUGGUGGCUAAUGAGCAAUUCAAGCCUCUCAAUCAUAGCUUAGUGUUUUGUUGGAACCUGCACACCUCUGUUGGUUCGGUUUGAGGAUGCAGGAAGUGGUUGUUUUGGUGGUUGUUUUGCUGUAUGUUGUCUUUGUGCCAGUUUGGUGUUGCUCUACUUUGUGCUUUUUCGGGCUGUUUUUGCUGUUGAUCUUGUGGCUUUGGUCUUGUUCACCUCUGCUACUUGUCUCUUGAGGUUGUAGCUUGUGUUUUUUUUCGUUUUUCAGGCUUGUAUUUCUGGCCUCUAAGAUGACUUUCUCUGUAUUGAGAUUGUGUUCCAGAUUGUUUUGUUUCUGGAGUGGAGUGUAUGUUGAGUGUUGUUCAAUGAAAUAUUUUAUUCAUCGAAAAAAAAAAAAAAAAA